CGACACAUAUCCAAACAUCAAAAAACACGCAAUGAAAAUGUCCACAGUUUUUGGCAGCACGUAUAUCUGCGAGAAAACCUUUUCUCGCAUGAAACUGCUGAAAACUCAGAUGAGAUCAAGAUUGACAGAUGAACAUUUGCAUCAGUGCUUGAGACUGGCUGUAACUAGAAUGGAACCUGAUAUUCAACUUCUCACCAGCCAGAUGCAGGCCCACAGUUCACACUGAUGAACAUACAUAGGGAAGUUGAUGAGAGAGAGCUGCAAACAGCGGUGUCUACAAGCCUACUGGAACCUACAAA